rnacentral:siRNA from 1 species
AAAGUGAUAUCCGUGUUGUUGUGU